rnacentral:piRNA from 1 species
UUCUUGCAAGUUGUCACGAUU